rnacentral:rRNA from 1 species
UACGUAGGGUGCGAGCGUUGUCCGGAAUUACUGGGCGUAAAGAGCUCGUAGGUGGUUUGUCGCGUUGUCCGUGAAAACUCACAACUCAAUUGUGGGCGUGCGGGCGAUACGGGCAGACUGGAGUACUGCAGGGGAGACUGGAAUUCCGUGGUGUAGCGGUGGAAUGCGCAGAUAUCAGGAGGAACACCGGUGGCGAAGGCGGGUCACUGGGCUGACCUUGACGCUGAGGCGCGAAGGCGUGGGGAGCGAACGGG